CCCACACCUAUGUGUGUAGGACCUCAAAGGAUCACCAUUUAAUUUGGCACAGAUAUCUAGAAAAGUUAUUACAUGGAUAUGGGACUUGACUUUUAUAGAGAUUUGUGCCAAAUUUAAUGGUGAUCCUUUAGGGUCCUACACACAUGGGUGUGGG
rfam:Amborella trichopoda AMTR_V1.0_contig_21307, whole genome shotgun sequence.